rnacentral:lncRNA from 1 species
CAGAGACACUAAAACUAUGUUCCAUGGAGUAUCCAGGACAUGUAUGAGGGGUUUUGGGGGUGACAGCAGAAAGGAGCUGGGAUACAUGCAGACUCGGUCUCACUCUGUCACCCAGGCUGGAGUGCAGUGGCAUGAUCUAGGCUCAACUUCUUCCUUCUGGACUCAAGUGAUCCUCUCACCUCAGCCUCCCAAGUAGCUGGGACUACAGGUCACUUCCCACUGAGAGCUGGUUUACACCCAUUUCAAACACCAUCUCCAAACUGAUACCUUGACUACGAGAUCAAGUGUCCAGAAUGUAACAGAAGCUGCCUAAUAUUUGGUAGAAGAAGAAAGGGAAGAGGAGAAUUCAGAUGCUAAUGGAGAGUAUGUAUGCGCGCAUGCACACGUGCGUGUACUCACAUUCAGGUCCUCUGACAUCAGAGUAAAACCCUGUGCAUAAACCCAGAGGCGAGGCUGGCCUGGAGCCUUUAAACAGAAGUGAGGGUAUGGUCCUUUAUUCUGGAUCAACUCUUGGCAGAUGUAAUGAAUCACCUCUGGUGCUUUUCCCAUGUUGCUGAUAUGCAGAGUGCUGAGGGUGGGAAGUGGGGGCCAAGGAGUCCGAGCCCCUGACCCAUCCCACACUUUGGUGUAGACCUCGCUCCCAGCCUGAGGUAUGAGCAGAGCCGGCUUGGAGGAAAAUUCUGACACUGCCUUGGCAUGAUGGGCCUUUCCCUGAAGGGCUGUUUCAGCUGCAAGGCAAAACUGUUAUUCCGGGUUACUCUGGGAACAAAUUAUAAGAAUCAUUUCCCCAAAUGCCCUCUCUGAUAGAGUUCCCACACAGUCAGAGGAAAUGAAAUCUCCCUUAAUCAAUUCCACUGGUUUGGUGUCAAGCUCCUAAGCCCCUCUGAGGCUCCAAUACCGCCUGCCUCCUCGUUCUCUG